rnacentral:lncRNA from 1 species
GUUAGUACAAGUAGUGCCAAACCAUCGUGAAUUGUUAUGAAACUUUAGAUAAGUAUUGAAGAAAAAUAUGAUCAACCUGAUCAUAUGCUGAAGAUACAGUCAAACAAGAUCAAUAAAAAGGUUCCUAUAAGAUAAAAGGACAAGAAGAAAGAAAGAAAGAAACGUCUUCAACAAAUAUCAGGAAAUGAUCAAAACAAAGAGAAGGCGAUCAGAAAGGACCAUUCUGAUAAGUCUGAUAAUAAUCUGGUAUUUAUGAUCAGAAUCAGGUAACUCUGAUCAUUAGAAUUUCUAAUGAUCAAUCUCAACAGGAUUCUGGUAAGCUGGUCAUCAGAAUUUCUAGAGGACCAACUUGUCUUAAAGAUAAGGCCCUGAAACAGUUUCAGCAAUAAAUGGUUCAUCAAAGAAUAGGGCAAGAAGAAGAAAGGAAAGAAAUGUCACACCCCCAAAAUCCACAUGCGGAGUAUCACCGCUUGGAGCCGUGACAUGACCAGGAUCAAGCCACCAAUCAUAUUGAACAAGCAUGUAAUUGCAAGCGGAAGCAUUAUGUCUAAAACCAAAUCAUAAGUUUAAAUGUUUCAAAUGUUUAGCAUGGCACACAGCUGUCCAUGUCCCACAACGACUCUUCCCACUCCCAUGCAAGCUCCAUAGAUGCCUAACGACCUGCAAGGCAUGUAACAGAGAGUCAACAACAAAGUUGA